rnacentral:lncRNA from 1 species
UUCUUUAAUCUCACGGCUAACCCAGGGGUUUCGCCACAUUAACUUCUUCACAUUAAGUCCAUCAUCGUAGGAACUCACCAGCUAGGACCGUCCUUACGGGUCUACUCCAACCCGGAUGCCAAACUCCGAAGCGCAUCGCCCGAGGGGAGCGACCGCCCUCGAGCACGGAACUCAUAGCAAGUAUGAUCAUAUCCUUAACUCAAAGGAUUUGUAGUUGAAUCAUGGCUUUACACUAACUCUAGUGUUCUUUACAUCACAUUAGUUGCUAACUCUAGCAAUCACUAUUCUUUAUACCACAAUUAUCAAUUACUUUAGUAAUUGUCAUUCUUGAUAUCACACUUGUUCUUUUAUUGCCACACACUAACUCUAGUGUUCUUUAUGUCACAUUGGUUGCUAACUCUAGCCAUUAUCAUUGUUCUUUACACUUUGCUUGUUCUUUAUGCCACAUUACUUUACAUCGCCUCUAGCCAUUAUCAUUAUUCUUUACAUUACAUUGCUUUGCCUUGUCUCAAGCCAUUAUCAUUAGGUUCUCACAUUACACCUCAUGCAUACACAUAGAUUAUUUAGAUUCUUAAUCAUUCUAAUAAGCACGUGUACUCACAUCAUGCAACAUUACAUUAUUAUCAUCACAUUGUUUUACAUUAUCUUUAGCCAUUAUCAUUAUUCUUUACAUCACAUUUAUUCUUUGAUGUCCCACACUAACUCUAGUGUCCACUUUACCAUUUCCAAAUGCCACUCGAUCUAUGUUUAACAUGCAUAUAUUUUGUCAUCCAUUGGUAGUCAUUACUUAGCAUUUUAUGCAUUCGUUAACAUUUACCACAUGCAUUCUCGGUUAGAAUAAAUCUCAUACUUUCAUUUGACAUCUAUUUAGCAUUUCUAUAAUAUGCACAUGUAAAUUAACAUCAACUCAUGCAUUCAUUUGACAUCUAUUUUUAUCAUGCAUUCUUAAAUAGCAUACUUUAUCAUGCAUCAAUAGUAAACAUACUACACUUUGACAUGGAAAGCGACCUAAUCGCUUCGGUGAGCACGACCCACCUCAAAACGCUUUCCGAUUGCUUGUCGACACUUGCAAUCGGCCUCCCGCGGCACCCGUAACCCGGUUUGGCCCGAUCUUUUGCGCGACCACCCGAACGGCCUCCGAUCCACGAUCCAAAAAUUAAAGGUCUUCGGUUAUGUGCCACGAUGCUUCAAAUCCGUUUUCAUGAUUUUACGAUGUCGCCUCGGCCCUCCAGGCGGAAACGAAGCCUAAACGUCCAUUUCUUUAAUAACUUCGCAACGGCUCGACGAAUCGCCGAACCGUCUUCGCCAACGCGUUCGUUUACCUAGCAAUUAGGUUUACGAAGGGUCAAAUUAGAUCAAACCCUUAUAUUUUACAAAAUCCCAUUCGGAGCCCUAAUAUGCAAUUAACCUCAAAAUAAUCCAAAAUUAAAUGGAUCAACAUGCUACAAAGCUCAUUAGAGGCUAUUAGAACACUUAAAGCUAAGGAUUAAGCCAAAUCCCAAAAGCUUACCUCAAUGUGAACGCCGCGACGAAAAUACGCCGCUCCAACGGGCGCACGAAAGCUCAAUCCGUCGCCUCCAACGCGUUCGCAAGCAUCUUCUCCACCAACGCCGCGAAUUUGAGCGAUAAAUAUAGAGAGAUGAGAGAGCAAUCUAGAGAGAGAAAGAAGGGUUUCUCUCUCCCUUCUCCAUGCCCGCUUGGGUGGCCAUGGUGGUCGGCUGAAGGAGAAAGAAGCAAAAUGCUUCUUUAUACAUUACACCCCAAAACACUAUUCACUUUCGGGCAGUUCGAAAUCUGAUAUCUUUCGUCGGAGCUCUCGGAAUGUCCGUUUGAGCUCAAACUUGACAGUCAUGCUUGGUUUUAUUUAACUUAACAAGCUGACGAUCGCUGGUUCAAUUUCGACCCCGUUCGGUUACCGAAAACUGUACCGAACUGUAAUCUUUAACAGACAACUGUGGGAUUUUAUUUCCCACCUUUCGGGUGUCAGAAUAAUAUGAAACUUUAAAUCUAGCCUCAUAAAAAUAUUUCUGACUUAUCCUCCAAUUUUCAUAAUUUUCUGAGACUGUGCAUUUUCUGCUAAUUUAUCUGUCCCGUUUCCAACAGAAAAUUCUAGAUCUUCUGUUUUAAUUCCGAUUUCAGCACAGGUCACUUCUGACUUAUAUUUUACCUCUAUAAAUCUAAUAAAAAUAGUUUCUCACACUAUUUUUAUUUAUUAUUAUUUUUAUACCAAAAUCUGGUAUAUUACAAAGAGUGUCA